GGAGAGAUGCCUGAGAGGCCGAAGGGGACGGUUUGCUAAACCGUUGUACCGUUCCGGUACCGAGGGUUCGAAUCCCUCUCUCUCCG
rnacentral:tRNA from 1 species